rnacentral:rRNA from 1 species
CAAUAGCUAAAUAAGGGCGUAUGGGGAAUGCCUAGGCUCUCAGAGGCGAUGAAAGACGUGAUAAGCUGCGAAAAGCUGCGGGGAUUGGCACAUACAAAUUGAUCCGCAGAUAUCCGAAUGGGGCAACCCACUAUACUGAAGUAUAGUAUCCGCAAGGAGGCAAA